rnacentral:rRNA from 1 species
UACAGAGGUGGCAAGCGUUGUUCGGAAUUACUGGGCGUAAAGAGCUCGUAGGCGGCUUGUCGCGUCGACUGUGAAAACCCGCGGCUCAACUGCGGGCCUGCAGCCGAUACGGGCAGGCUAGAGUUCGGUAGGGGAGACUGGAAUUCCUGGUGUAGCGGUGAAAUGCGCAGAGUAUCAGGAGGAACACCGGUGGCGAAGGCGGGUCUCUGGGCCGAUACUGACGCUGAGGAGCGAAAGCGUGGGAGCGAACAGG